GACGAACGCUGGCGGCGCGCUUAACACAUGCAAGUCGAACGGAAAGGCCUGCUUUCCCUUGUGGAUUGCGGGUACUCGAGUGGCGAACGGGUGAGUAACACGUGAGUGAUCCGCCCCCAACUUGGGUAUAAGCCUGGGAAACUGGGUCUAAUUCCCGAUAGGACUGCAGGGUGGUGCCUGUGGUGGAAAACGAUUUUCUAGUGGUUGGGGAUGAGCUCGCGGCCUAUCAGCUUGUUGGUGGGGUAAUGGCCUACCAAGGCGGCGACGGGUAGCCGGCCUGAGAGGGUGGACGGCCACAUUGGGACUGAGAUACGGCCCAGACUCCUACGGGAGGCAGCAGUGGGGAAUAUUGCAGAAUGGGCGGAAGCCUGAUGCAGCGACGCCGCGUGGGGGAUGACGGCCUUCGGGUGGUAAACUCCUUUCGACCGCGAGGAAGCCACCUGGUUGGAAGGGUGGUGACGGUAGUGGUAGAAGAAGCACCGGCUAACUACGUG
rnacentral:rRNA from 1 species